GGUAUUGCUACGUUUUGUUUCACCUGGUGGAACUGCAAAUAUUAUUAGCAGCAAUAAUUAAUAUUUUGCAAAUCCAUGGCUCUUUCAGAUUUGACGAUGUGGGUGCCGUCUUGUAAGGUUACAGUAUCACUAUGAAAUAAUACAGAAAUAGCUCGCAGUAAUGUGUAGAAUUGUAAUGAUGCAGCACAGAUGGUCAUAAGGUAUUGCUACAUUUUGUUUCACCUGGUGGAACUGCAAAUAUUAUUAGCAGCAAUAAUUAAUAUUUUGCAAAUCCAUGGCUCUUUCAGAUUUGACGAUGUGGGUGCCGUCUUGUAAGGUUACAGUAUCACUAUGAAAUAAUACAGAAAUAGCACUCAGUAAUGUGUAGAAUUGUAAUGAUGCAGCACAGAUGGUCAUAAGGUAUUGCUACGUUUUGUUUCACCUGGUGGAACUGCAAAUAUUAUUAGCAGCAAUAAUUAAUAUUUUGCAAAUCCAUGGCUCUUUCAGAUUUGACGAUGUGGGUGUCGUCUUGUAAGGUUACAGUAUCACUAUGAAAUAAUACAGAAAUAGCACUCAGUAAUGUGUAGAAUUGUAAUGAUGCAGCACAGAUGGUCAUAAGGUAUUGCUACGUUUUGUUUCACCUGGUGGAACUGCAAAUAUUAUUAGCAGCAAUAAUUAAUAUUUUGCAAAUCCAUGGCUCAUUCAGAUUUGACGAUGUGGGUGCCGUCUUGUAAGGUUACAGUAUCACUAUGAAAUAAUACACAAAUAGCACUCAGUAAUGUGUAGAAUUGUAAUGAUGCAGCACAGAUGGUCAUAAGGUAUUGCUACGUUUUGUUUCACCUGGUGGAACUGCAAAUAUUAUUAGCAGCAAUAAUUAAUAUUUUGCAAAUCCAUGGCUCUUUCAGAUUUGACGAUGUGGGUGCCGUCUUGUAAGACCCCCGUCUUUGCUCCCAUUCAUAAUGUAUCAAUGCAAUAUUACGUAAAUUUAAAACCAGUUGCAUAUUUUGUUGGACAGAUAGACGUGUGUUAGGGGAAUCGAUCUUGCAACCUUUCACCUUCAUACCAGUUUGUGACCUUGUGCCUAUUGUCUGGACUAAUUAUCAUUAUCUUCAUCCUCGUUAUUAAAGAGUGGAGCAAAGUGAAGAACACUCAUAAACUGAAGCACCUGACGAGAGGUUUCGGCCUUGCGCCCCCCCCCCCCCACUGACCCCACCAUCAUGUCCCCAUCACCCCUUUUCCAAUGUUUGGAGUUGUAAAAUAAGACUUAAAAAUACAGAUAAUAAAGGAUUCCUUUGAGAUGUCCACAGCUUUACAUUGUGGGCCUCCCUGGAUCAAUUAAAAACACAAAAACAAUAAU